AACGCAUAUGGCACCUCUUGGUUCUUACCAGGAGGUAUGCCUGUUUGAGAAUCAUUCAUCCCUUUGAUCAUUCAUCAUCCACUUGUGAUCCAUGUUGGUGGUGGUGGUCGAGACAUGGACCUUCACCAGUGAUCGUCUUGAAUGCAUGCACGGGUUGUUCGUGAGAGAGAAGGAUAGUGCAUUCUGUCUGUCGAUCGACCAAUCACGUCCACUUGUUCAAUGAUCUCAAAUCAGGCAAGACUACCCGCUGAACUUAA
rnacentral:misc_RNA from 1 species